CCUAAUUCAGAUUUUGCUAAUUGUAUCAAAAAUACUUUGUAGCAAAACGAUAUCCAGAAUCAUAGAUUACAUUCAGUUGUUAUGUUUCCUUUGGUUCCAAUAACCUAUAGCAAUUCCUGAGUCUCUCCUUGUGUUUCAUGAAAUUGAUGCUCUUGAAGAGUAUAGAUGGGUUCUUGGAUAACACGUCCCAUAGUUUGUUGAUGUUGCAGUCAGAUUCAGGAAAUACAUUUUUGACAGAAUUAUCAUCAAAGCAACAUUGUACCCUUCUCAAUGCAUCAUAUUAAGAGGCACUUGGGUAUAUAUUAGUCCUAUCAGUAAGUGUUUGUUAAGUAUACCUGUCAGUCUCCUUUUACUUUAAAAUUACUCUAAUAUUAGUUUUAAUAUACUCCAUAAUAACCAAAUGUCCUAUGAGCAUGGCAUUUGUGAUUGUGAAAUCGUUGUAUUCUAUUUCUUAUCAAAUUUUCAUCACUGUAUUAGCAAUUGGUUAUUAUUGCCUGAACCAAUGAUAUAUAUUUGCAGCACUGGAGAAGAUGCUUGUGAAAAGUUAUAUCUAAGUUCAUUGUUCCUUCCAUAUUAUCUGAUUUCUACUGCAAGACAGAGAUUUUCUUCUCCUUUAUUUAUAUCCGUGUGGCCCCUGUGGAUCUUUACUGUGCUGUAAUCCUUUAUUUUAAAGUUCAUAUUGUCUCAAAUUUAUUAUUUUAAAGUUCAUAUUGUCUCAAAUUUAUGUUUUCUCUUCCAGUCAGUGAAUUCUGGAUCUGAAAACUUAGGUUUGGAAAUUGGAGGAAGAUUGUGGAUUUCUGUUGGGGAAGCUGAUCUCAAUCUUCUGCUCAUAAUAUAUUCUUGAUCUCCUUUAAUAAUAUUAAUUCAUACUUCCUUGACUGUUUAUUUUGCCUCUAAGAAUAUCAUGUUCUAUAGAUUCUUACAGGUCAGCCAACCUUGGGUACCACUUGGCUUUUCUCCCUAUGAUGGAAAUUACAACCACUUAGCUUCUGGCAGCUAAGUGCUAAUACUAGACUUCUGCUAUUUUGCAAUUCCAUGAUUCUCCUAGCUAAUAAUUUACUCACUACUGAAACAUCAUCCUCUACCCAUAGAGGACAUUUUACAGAAGAUAGCAAUUUCUGAGUGUUUCUGUAAUACCAGAAAAACUCCUUCACCAGUAGACUUCACAUUAUCUUAAUAACCAGUGACCACUGAGCUCUUCCUAGAAAGCUACUCAAUUAGUGAGUUUUAUGGUACAAAGGAUAAUAAUAAAUCCAUUUUAUCAGGCACAUUUCUCUGCGCCCUUGAACCUUCCUCCACGGCCUACUAUGGUAGUUCUGUUAUCUCUUCUUCACUUAAUAUGGGCCAUUAAACAUCCCAGGAUUCCAAGAAGCAUUCUAACAGCAGAUCAGGAAAAGCCUUUGUAAAUUUUCAAGGUGGCAGAGUUUGUCCAUUGGCUCCAUGUGGAUAACUUUCCUUUCUCCAGCUUUAUACUCUGCUUCCCUUGAUCUGGUACCCUUGAGGUUCAUGUGCACACAACUUCUCUCUUUUCUAUUGGCACACCUGUGCCAGCUCCAGCAGAGCUUUCAAUAUAUAACCCUUUUCAUACUUGAGAAGAUAUAAACUUCUCAAGUUGUACCAUGCAGAGUUUUGAUCAUAGUUCUUGCUCUAAGAGAAACAGGGUGUAGGAUUAGAUGCUGAGGAGGGUAACCACUCUCCUGUAAGGCAGCAGUCCCUACCUUUUUGGCAUGACAUUCAUUCUAUAGAAGGCAGUUUUUCCAUGGACUGGGGAAAGAGAAGAUGGUUUCAGGACAAUUCAAGUACAUUGCAUUUAUUGUGUACUUUAUUCUUAUUAUAUUAUAGUAUAUGAUGAAAUAAUUGUGCAACUCAUCACAAGCACGAUCAGUUGAGGCCCUGGCCUUGUUUUCUUGCAACCAAACAUUGCCCCCUGGGGAUGAUGUGAGUCAAUGACAUCUGAAGUAUGGCAUUUAGGGGUCCAACAUACUCCAUAAUCUAUUUUCUGGGUGGGGUCAAUACAGAAAACCCCAUUUCACAAAGGUCAGGUGUUGAAAAUAGAGGUAGGUUUCUCAGUGCUUUUCAUGACAAUCUCAGGAUAAUCUACCUCAACUUUAAUUCAGAACAUAAGGAGAUUUAAAGUUGCAUCAAACAUAUUUUGAAAGCCAUCAUCAUUUGUGAUUUCAAGCAGUUGAUCCCCUUCUGGCACAAAUUUGAUUUCCUGUGCUUAUUCACAGAUGGGUUGUGGAUUCAUUCCUCUCUAGUUCAGAUGUCUUCUGUGGUUGGGGUGUAACACUCAAAUUCUUUUGAAUGCUGAGAUAGGUGAUCAUGCACCAGCUGGGAGGGAGAAGGCCCUGAUUCAAUUUCAUUUAAAAUCUUUGCUAAUGUUUGAAACAUGUUAAAAAUCCCGAUGUUCAGCCUUCAGCCCCAUAAUUCCAUUUUAGCUAUGAAUGCAAAUACUUUAUGUGCCAACUUGAAUACAGUUUCCCUUCUUCCCUGAAGCAACAGAUUGAGUUUUUUGAUCAGGCCAACUAUGUCACAUGAGUAAGCAAGUUUUGUGACUUAUUCUGUAUUGCUGAAAUGUGCUGUCAGUGGUGACUGUUUUUGUAAAAGAAAUUUCUGGAGUGGCUCUUGUAAUGCAAAAACUCUGGCCAGUAAUCUGCAUUUAGAAAGAUAUCUCACUUCUGCAUGCAGGAUAUGUGUAUUCCAGGUCAACCUCCUUAUAGAGCUACACCAACAGAUACAAGUUAAGGAUAUACAGUUGAACAUGGUUGAUAAUUUAAAUCACAUCUUACUAAAUGUUAAGUUUGGGUGACAUUUUAGAGUUAGCCGGCAUUUCUCUAUGGAUGACAGUACAUAGACUCACGUUCAGAAGUGAUCUCUUUGACCCAAAUAGUGAAAUCAGAAAGUUGUCCCAUCAUGGUAGCUGCUACCUCCCUACAAAUAGAAUGACUGGAAAAAAUGAUCUAUUCAGUUUUCCUGAUAUGUAAUCAUUCAAAGAAUUAAAAAGUUCUGUAGCUAUGGUGUUGGUUGGCCCACAAGAGCCCAUAAAAUGUCCUCAUGCAUAUCCCUCUGAAAAAGAUAUUGUAAAACAACAAGAAGCAUUGUUGCCUUCUUGUCAACACUGACAUAGAAACCCAGAUUGCUAAUGUUAAUCUGCAUUUGCAGCUACUUCCCAGAAUUAGCAUCACCAUCUUGUCUUCCUAUUAUCAGAUAUUAGAGCCUCAUAAAGAGUGUGCAACUUAGAUCCCAUGCACAUACAGUUCAAAGUAGGGCCCACACUCCUGUGAGAAUCUAAUGCCACUUCUGAUCAGACAGAAAGCAGGGCUCAGGCAGUAAUGCAAGCAAGAGACAGUGGCUAUAAAUACAUGAUGAAACUUUAUUUGCUUACCCACUAUAUAGCCCAGUUCAGUACCUGUCCAUGGCCCCAGUGCUGGGAACUCACACUCUCAGGUAUCUGCCUACAUUGACGAGGGGUAACUUUUAUGGAAUCAAUGUACUCAGGGUAGUUUGAAGGACUAUUUGGGUAUGUCUGCCCAAAUAGUCUUAUCCUACUGCUUCCAUAUGAGGGCCCUGGAUUCAGAAGAGAGGACUUGCUGGCACUAAAGAUUUAUCUGUUGGGAUUUUGAUAAUAUUAAAAUUAAUUCAUGAUUUCAUCUUCAACGUGAACAGCCCUCUGGCUAUAAUGAAUCAGAGUUUCUUUAAUUAUAGUGGGAAGAUGAAGAUGAAGUGCUUUUGCACUUUGAUGACUGAUUAACUUGAGCUUAUUAUUUCUACCUUUUAAAGACGUAAUAGCAGCCACCACUUCCACAGUGCUUUCAGUAGGCAAUUCCAUCCCCUUCAUGUCUGCCUCAUACUUGAAUUAUUGCACAAGCCAACAUAUCUCCUCAACUUAUAUUAGAUAUAUGUCUGUUUUAGUCUAGAGCUGAAAUGUCCACCCAAAGCUUCAUGUGUUCAAAAGUUACAUUUUUGGAAGGUGAUUAGAUCCUGGGUGCUAUGCUUAUCUGUGGGUUGAUCCACUUAUGCGUUCACUGCUGAAUGUGCUUUUGAGAAGUGGAACCUGGUCAGAAGAGGUGGGUCACUGGGAAUGUGACAUGGAAGGGUAUAUUCUUAUCUUCCCAUUUAUUUCUGCUUCAUGGUGACCAUACAAUGAACCACAUUCCUCUGGUAUGCCUUUCUAUCAUGCUAUUUCUUCCUUGGAGCCAUGGACUGAAUCCUUUGAAACCAUGAGUCAGAAGAAGCCUUUUCUGCUUUAAAUUAUAAGUGUCAGGUGUAUUUUGUCCUGAAAACUGUGAAGUGACAAACAUACUUACCAAUCCCGGUGCCUAUAAAUGAAAUGUUUUUCACUUUAUUUUGGUAGUAAUUAAUAUACUUUAUUUUGUAUAGCCUUUUUGAGACAAGGUUACACUCUGCAGUUCAGGCUGCUCUUGGACUCACUUUGUAGCCCAGUCUGGUCUUGAAUUUGCAAUGAUCCUCUUGCUUUAGCCUCCCAAAUGCUGGGAUGCACAGUUAUAUUUAAAGAAUAAUUGAGCAUAUAGUAUAUUAACUUCUAUAUACCUAUCUAUUUUGUUCUUGCCCCACCUCAGGUCUUCAACUACCUCAAUAUUUUAUAUGGACAUUUGGGACAAUUAUUUAACUAAUAUUGAUAAAAUAUCCUGAAUAUACGCUAUAGUUUACAUUAAGGUUCACCUACAGUAAGUAUGCUGUGCUAUGGGUUUUGGCAAGGACCCAGAAUCUUUUUUUUUUCCAAUUUGCCAUCUUAAGCUUUUAAUUUUUAAUUGUUUUAAAUUUUAAAUUUUUAAAAAGCAAAACAGAAAAAAGGGUAGAAAUAAUACAGAAUUUCAAAAAAAUAACAGAAAUCAACACUAGUUAAUACAUUUUAUACUGUAAUCAUAGAUGUAGUUGUUCAAAUUACAUAUAUAUUUUUUAUCCCAAGCUUUUUUGAAGUGCACAGUUUAGUAGUGCUUCAUAGUAUGUUCCUGGGUGUGAAACAGAUCUCUAGAUCUUUUUUUUUUUUUUGGCAAGGCCUUCCUGUGUAGUUCCUGUUGGUCCUGAACUCUCUGUGCAGUCCAGCCUGAACUCGAACCUGGCAGUGAUCCUCUUGUCUCAAGCUUUGGAGUACUGUGAUUAAAGGGGGCCAGGAUUCCAUGUAUGUUGAACAGGAGUGGCAAGAAUAGGAAUCCUUUCAUUGUUCCUGACUUUACAGAAAAGGUUUUCAGUAUUUCACCACUGAGUAUCAUUCUAUGUCUGGUCUUUUCACAGGUCGAUGUAGGCUCCCUGCCAACUCAGCUCUCUGUUCAGCUCGCUGACCCUCGAACUCAAUGUAACUGCGCCUCCAGUGAGUUGAAGUGGUGGGACCUCGGACGGCUUGGCAAGUUGUGGCGGGACCCAAGUCAACCACAGUGGAACCUCGGCAAGUUGUGGCAGGACCCCAGCAAGUCACAGCGUUGGCCAGUUGCAGCGGGACCUUGGAUGGUCAGCAAAGUCACCUUAAUUUCUUCUUGGGAUGAGAGAAUUCAUCUCCCUCUGUUUGGGGCUCCCCACUCUGCAUUAUGUUGAAUUCUAAGUUGACUGUCUCCUGUCGCGUUUGUUGAUUAAUUCCUUGAAUAUCCAUUCUGUGAACUGUCACAUGAAUUCAUCUCUCCUUAAUAAUUUUCAAAUUCUUGAUCAAAUAAAUCUGACUAAUAAUGUUCCUAAGAAGACACCUUUUUUUAUUCCUUUCCUGCAUAUUUCAAAGAAAUAUCUUCCAAGAUCUAUGUGUCAUUUCCCAACACCUUCAAAGUGUAAUUCCUCACCAUAUUUCCCUCAAUUCCCCCAUCACGGCAAGGCUCGCUGUAUUAAGAAUCAGUGUAUUCUCCAGCUCCUCUGGGAUCAUAGACGUGAUCCCAACAUGAAUUGCAAUAACAACUCUUCUGUUACUCUCCAGCCUCAGAGAGUGGAACACCCAGAAAAAAAACCAGAUCCAUCGCAUAACAUCAACCACACUCCACUGCUUU